rnacentral:rRNA from 1 species
GUCUACGGCCAUACCACCCUGAACGCGCCCGAUCUCAUCUGAUCUCAGAAGCUAAGCAGGGUUGGGCCGGGUUAGUACUUGGAUGGAAGAAAUGUCUGAUACUACGUGUUCUUUAAU